ACUAAGUACCCCGCCUGGGGAGUACGGCCGCAAGGCUGAAACUCAAAGGAAUUGACGGGGGCCCGCACAAGCGGUGGAGCAUGUGGUUUAAUUCGAUGCAACGCGAAGAACCUUACCUGGGCUUGACAUGUCCGUGAAAGCUGGUGGAAACAUCGGCCCCUCUUCGGAGCUCGGUCACAGGUGCUGCAUGGCUGUCGUCAGCUCGUGUCGUGAGAUGUUGGGUUAAGUCCCGCAACGAGCGCAACCCUCGCUCCCAGUUGCCAGCGGUUCGGCCGGGGACUCUGGGGGGACUGCCGGUGUCAAACCGGAGGAAGGUGGGGAUGACGUCAAGUCCUCAUGGCCCUUACGCCCAGGGCGACACACGUGCUACAAUGGCCGGCACAAAGCGUUGCGAACCCGCGAGGGUAAGCCAAUCGCUAAAAGCCGGUCUAAGUUCGGAUUGCAGUCUGUAACUCGACUGCAUGAAGUCGGAAUCGCUAGUAAUCGCGGAUCAGCCACGCCGCGGUGAAUACGUUCCCGGGCCUUGUACACACCGCCCGUCACGCCAUGGAAGCUGGGGGGACCCGAAGCCGGUGGGCUAACCUUCACGGGAGGCAGCUGUCUAAGGUCAACUCAGUGACUGGGGCGAAGUCGUAACAAGGUAACCGUA
rnacentral:rRNA from 1 species